GUACAGAUGCACAGUGUGGCCUUUUUUGAAAUUAGCCUCAAAUUUUUCUUUUGAUUUUAGUAUAGGCUCUAAGCCCAUUCUUUAUCAUUUGGUUUGGGCCAAUGGUAUGUCAAUGCGUUUACUGCUUUCUGCACACCCACAAUUACUAACUGAGUGUUCGUACCUCACUCAUCUUAUACUACACCUCCUUAUUUAAUUUUUUUUCCAAUCUGUACCCUUGUAAGAAAAUUUUUGAGUGUUACCUUUUAUUUUUUUUAAUUCACCCAUUAAAUAAUUAAAAGCCUACACCACCAUUUCUUUUUUCUCACUGAGAAUAUUCCCAAACUCUACACCCUAUUUCUCUUCUUAAGUGUUUUUCCUCCCCUCUUCUCUCAUUUACUUUUAAUAGUCUCUUAUUCUCUUUCAUUUGUUGGGUUUCUAGAUUGAUUCUGAUUUCCUUAAGUUUGUAUGUAGUAUUUGUGUGGAUGGGAUGCAUUUCUGGACUGGAUUGAAGGUCAUAAUUGUACUUAGAAGUGUGGUUGAGAACAUGUUGAUUGUGGAAGUACAAUUACAUAGCUUGUCGCACUUAGAAGUGUGGUUAAGAGCUCGCCAAAAUUGGAAAUGCAGACCACGGUAGCCACACUUGGAAGGACGGUUCAUAGUUU
rnacentral:lncRNA from 1 species